UACGUAGGGGGCUAGCGUUGUCCGGAAUCAUUGGGCGUAAAGCGCGUGUAGGCGGCCCGGUAAGUCCGCUGUGAAAGUCGGGGGCUCAACCCUCGGAAGCCGGUGGAUACUGUCGGGCUCGAGUACGGAAGAGGCGAGUGGAAUUCCUGGUGUAGCGGUGAAAUGCGCAGAUAUCAGGAGGAACACCUAUUGCGAAGGCAGCUCGCUGGGACGUUACUGACGCUGAGACGCGAAAGCGUGGGAGCGAACAGG
rnacentral:rRNA from 1 species